GACGUAGGGCGCGAGCGUUGUCCGGAUUUAUUGGGCGUAAAGAGCUCGUAGGCGGCUUGUCGCGUCGAAUGUGAAAUCUCCGGGCUCAACUCUGACAUUGCAUUCGAUACGGGCAGGCUAGAGUUCGGUAGGGGAGACUGGAAUUCCUGGUGUAGCGGUGAAAUGCGCAGAUAUCAGGAGGAACACUGGUGGCGAAGGCGGGUCUCUGGGCCGAUACUGACGCUGAGGAGCGAAAGCGUGGGGAGCGAACAGG
rnacentral:rRNA from 1 species